rnacentral:lncRNA from 1 species
CAAAAGGGGACUUUUCUCUACUUCUUUGUCCUGUAGAGGUGUAAAUCUAUCCUACUAAGUUAAAACCAGUUGCAGUCAGUCUAGAGGACUCUAAUUAAAACAUCCCUCCAUAGCCUCUCAGCUUCAAUCAAGUUUUCCAGACAGAUCCUACACUAAUCUGUAGCCACCUAUGUGCUUAAGGCAAGUAACUGAAGACAAAUAUUUGUCUAUUGAGAUAUACUAAACAGAUCUAGAGAAUAUGGCAUUUAAAAUUUUUUUAUUAAAAAGCUUUUUAUAACAGAGAGAUAGGCCAGCUGCUGGCCCCACCCCAUUUCCUCCAAGAAGACUGGUGGGCACUGAAGAAACUCCACCCACAAAAGUGGCAACGCUAGCCAUUGAUCGAUCCUGCCUUUCACCUCAACUGCUGCAAAGGACUUUUCAGACCAUGGACAAGAGGACAGUAGAAUCAACUUUCUCCAUGUUGCUUGGGCCAAUGGUAGGCAAGUCUUCCUAAAAUUCCUAAUCCACAGGUCCCAUGCUAUCAGCAGAAGGCAGGUCUUCUUAAAGCGGCUGCCCUCAACAACUACGGAGGACCUUGGGAGAGGCUGUCCAUGCAGUCAGCUAGUAAGUCUCUGUUAUUCUUUAAUCAUUAACUCAGGUAAAAUGUUAUCCUUCUCAAGAACUCUGAUGCUUUUGACGACUGGUAGCUUUGCCAGCUUAAAGCAACAGGCAAAGCUCCAACUGUCACAAAACAGAUUUCAGGAACAGGUAUUUUAGGGUUUAUCUAUGUGAAGAUGGUAAUAAGGUCUAAAUAUAAAUACAAGUUAUGAAAGUCUGAAGAUAAAAAGGCUUAAGCGAUGACAAAUAAAGUGAGUUGAGACAUUCAAAAGAGUGAAACACCUUCCAGAUUUCUCUUUCUCAUUAUGGUAAUGUUCAUAGUCUUAACAUUAAUCAGUAAAGUUUUAAUAAGCGACUAAUCCAACUCUGACAGAGUACAAAACCUCAUAUUAUACCACUUUAUGAUAACUGCAAAGUUAAAGUCAAGGUUCUUCUCAUUGUCCUAAAAAUAUGUGUCAGUUUUAAAAAUGUUAAUACUUUCAGCCAAGUUGUUUCUAACACAAAUAAGCUGCCAAUGUGUCUAAUACGUACGUUUUCACGAACUCAAAGGAUUCUUGUAAGUUCCAGGGAACCGAACUGGACCCACCCAAACAGGUCAGAUUCACUCUAGACAUUAUUCAGUCUUUCCCCGGUCCUGGGAUUCCCUUCCCUCAUCUUAGGACCCCCCUCCCCCAGGAACCCCUUCCUCAUCUUAUGAUCCUCUGUUCAAGUACCAGAACCUGAGAAAAAAAACUUUUUCUAAACUUAACUUUGUCCUCUGCUCUGCCAACAUCUCGCCAGGUCUAAGAGGCUCCAGAGUUCCAUACAGCCAGGACUUCAAUGAAACAACCAACUCCCCCACGACAUGGCAGCAUCCCAGCUUUCUAAGGUUCCCCUAAGGAUGGUCAACAUCCCCCAGUGAGGAAACUGAAGGAAUGAGAAAACAAACACAUCGGAUGUUGGCGUGGACCGCAUGGUGACUACUGCUGUUUGACAAAGUUCAGCCUUUCGACACUGCAGACCACACUUCUUCAGCACCUUUUUGCUUUCAUUUUCAAUGAUUCUCAAUAUUAAUGCCUUUCCCUCUGGAAUUUUUUUUUGUGGGCUUUGGUAAAGGAUGAAAAUGUAUACAACGG